AUGAGAAUAACAGAGUGAACCAUUCAUUACAUUAUCUGCCAAGUAUUUAUUAAACUGUAUCGUCUGUGAAAUUCCCUCCGUGCUCCUUUCUAUUUGAUCUUUUUAUUUCGCUUUGCUUCCAAUUAGAAGGCUGCAAAUAGACCGUCAAACUAACGAGAAAAACUUUAAGAAAACCGAAAGUCAAGAGGUAUACGAGGGAAUCAACACCGAGGCUUGACACAGAUCAUUUUGACAGUGGUGAACAAUAUCCAUCCCGACUUUGAAUACGCGUGUUUUACGUUCAUAGUUAAUCGACGAUCAUGCGGGAUACGAUUGCAGAGACGUUGAUUCAAUUAUCGACAAACCGACGCGCGGAAUCUGCAGAUUUACGUCGUAAUGGUGUAAUUCACCAUUGUAGAAAUUGCAAUUCUGAUUGUUAUCGAUCGAUAUUCAAAUCAUCCCAUUUCGAACAGCAUCCGAUAAAUAAUUUAAGAGUUAUCGCUGAUCAAGCAUUUCCAUAUUACAAUCUAUAAAAAGUAAUCUUCAACAAUCACCUGUAAGUAUAGACAGAUGCCGUCUCGUUAAUUUUCUUUAUCUCUUCAGCCGUUUCCUUGUUUCCGUUUUCAUUUAAAUCCCAACAAACAACUUUUGCUCCUAAAGUUGCAUAUUGCAGAGCUAAUUCUCUGCCAAUGCCAUGUCCUGCUCCAGUUAUCUGUAAGCAGAUUUACUUGAUAAGAAAGAAUAUUCGUCAUAGAGCCAACAAUUUUUUUACCACAGUAUUACGUAAAGCGAUGAUUAUGUGAUUACUGGUUUUACAUUUUGGGUUAAUCAUAGACUGUCUUCAAUUAAUAUUU
rnacentral:misc_RNA from 1 species